AUGAGGGCUACUGACCUAAAUACAAAAACACUACAGAAAUACCCCCUCCCCUCUUUCCGGGAGAAGGUGGUGUCAAAUUGGUCCGGUGUUGGAUCUCGUCACCUUGGAAGAGGGUCGGUUGGAAUGCUUGUCCUACGUCUCAAGCGAAUCCGAGCUAUGGCGAAGAAGUGGUCGGCUAAUUUUCGUCUACCCACCACCUUGGCCAAAAAAUACCACACCUUGAUAAACUUUCUGGACAAGAUUGAGGAGUCCCGCAUGCUCUCUCCCAUCGAACUCCAUCUUCGAACUGCGGUCAAACUUUCCCUACACCGCCUCAAUGCGGAUCUGGCUGCUUAUUGGCGGCAACGUGCUAAAAUCAGAGGUUGUGUUCUCGGCGAUGAAAACUCGCCAUACCUUCACAUUUGUGCUUCUGUUCGCUUUAGGAAAAAACAAAUCAAAUCGAUGGAGGUGGACGGAGUCUCCUUCACCUCCCAGGGGGACAAGGAACGCAUCCUUCUGAGUUUCUUCAAGGACCUAGUGGGAACUUCGACUCGAGCGUCUUUCUCCUUCGAUCUCUCCUCUCUGAUGGCUGGGUCCUCCCUCUCCACCACUCAGGCUAGGGACAUUGUGCGCCCUUUCUCGAUCGAAGAAUUCAAGCUGGCUCUUUGGGGCAUGAAUGAUAACGCAAGCCCCGGCCCAGAUGGCUUUGGACCGGCUUUCUACAAAGCUAAUUGGAACCUAGUCAAAGAUGACCUGCUCAACCUCCUUAAUGAAUUUUUUUGCGACAAGGCUGACUUGAGACGCAUUAACAAAGCCUACAUUGUGCUUCUCCCCAAGAAGAUGGGAGCUAACCAUCCCGAGAACUUUAGGCCCGUUUUCCCUCCAAAACUGCGCGGUCAAAAUCGCCUCAAAAUGCCUGGCCAAUAG
rnacentral:rRNA from 1 species